GGAAGAUGAGCUGAACAGUUUGAUGCCUUCAACCCCAGACACUGCCCGCAGUAACCGUCAUGCAGAGAGUAUGCUGUGUUGAAACCUUGUUUGCUGGUUUCUGCUGUUCAUGCAAAUUGUCCAAAGCACAUAAGUAAGUGUGUAGUAAUUGUCUGCAAAUUGUGUGUCUGCUCCAUGUCCAGUACAAAGGGACUUUAGUGGCCGCUGUUAUAUAAAUGCGGUAUAACGUCUCUGCAAAGCUUUCAUUACUCUGAGCCUGAGUGGUUUCGGAGCUGGAAGCGCCUGCUGCCACACUGAUGAUUGGAGUAUGUUGCUUUUUAGGUUCCCUUUCACAAAGUAUCUUACGAAAGUAUAAGAGUCUGGACAUCAUUCAUUUUCAUUCUUGUAUUUUAAAAUAGGCUUGUUUUAAAUAAUGUCAUUGGCCAGCACUGUGCUCAGAUACUUGCUGAGGCAGAAAUAAUUUGAUGUCAGCAGAUAAAAUGGCUGUCUCAGUGCAGCACGUUAAUGGCUCUUGUGGCCAGCAUACACCUCGGUGCUGAUUUAUUAUCAGUCCGGGGGAAGGUGGAAGGAUUCCAGGGCUCCCCCCACCCACUGAGUUGGAAAGGUCUGGGCAAGGAACAAAUUGCUCCUUGAACUGUAAAAAAAGUAAAAUACAGGAAGAUUUUCUUUUCUGUGAGUUUAAAGGAGAAAAGGUAAAAACAGUUUUCAGCUAAUCCUCACAUACCCUGCUGAGAUGGGUAUUAUUGUUCUCGUUUCACUGAUGGGAUGGUGGCUGGGAAGAGGAGGGGCAGGGAAGAAGAAAAGAAAAAAGAUUAAGGGUCUGAUGCAACUCCCAUCUAUGUCCCGCUCCUGUGAAUGUGUACUUAUGUACUUCAUUUAUUCACGGGAGUUGGGCUAUGGCCUUCAGUGGGACUACUCAGUCCAUGCGGGUCAAUGUAAGCCUUCACAAGUUCAAAAUCUAUUAAAGAAGGUUUCCUAUAGACUUAGUGGAAGCUGGAGUCAGAUGUAGCUGUAGCAUUUCUUUCCCUGUGGUCACAAAGAUGUUUGAAUUGCCAAUUUUGUUCCCUGUUUCUGUUUUCAGACUGUUGACUUAUACAACUCUCAUGAGCUUCUCACAAGCCAUGACAAUAUUGGAGGUAUUUCUUUCUACUUUAGUGAUGAGAGCUUUCCUUACCUACCACAUGUGAACUCACACAAUGAAAUGUUCCUGCACAAAAGCAAAUUCUUUUUAGAUGCUCUGACAUUUCAUUUUCAAAGGCUUGUAGAAAAGCUUGACUUUGGGCUCCCCGACCAGCAGCAGCUUCGAUGAAGGAACGUGGAGGGAAGCAAGUUCAAAACAAAUAGAAGGAAAUAGCUGGUGCCCUAGUGAUCAGUGAGUCCCAGCAAAGAUUAGAUGCAAGAACAAGAAAUUGAUGAAUUCAAGUAGAAACUAUCAAGUAUUUCUACAAAUAGUGGCUUUUUCAUGGCUCAUGUGAGGGCUGACUUUGAUGUCUAAGAUCAAAUUCAAGCUGAAACUUCCUUCCGUGUUGCGAUGUUUUGCAGGUUCUUUUCCUUCAUCACACACCUGGUGCCUGGUGAGGUGUGAAUAUAUGCUCAGCCUUUCCAUGGUGGGAACAUUCAGACUGCAUGGUGGUGGGGCCUCUCUCUCUCUACUACCCUCCCAGCCUCACUCACCCAAAGCUCACUCUCUUAUUCUCAUAGAAUCAAAGAAUCAUCAUCAUAGAAUCACUUGAGUUGAAAGGGACCCUGAAAGGCCAUCUAGUCCAACUCCCCUGCAAUGAACAGGGACACCUACACUAGAUCAGGUGCCUAGAGCCCCAUCCAGCCUGACCUUGAAUGUCUCCAGGGAUGGGGCUUCCACAAUUCUCUGAGCAAGUUGUUCCGGUGCCCUCUACCCUUCUGUUAAGUUCAGUUGAACUAGGCUGACGCGUUCAAAAGCCAUUCAGAGGAGCCAAAACAAAUACUGUGUGAGUGCAUUCACAUUGUUUACGUGAGAACUGGGCUGAAAAUUCCCCCCAGCCCUAAGCCAGAGAUUUUGACCAGAUAAUAGCCUUGCGUUCAGGGCACAAGGGCAUCUGUAAUUCCCGAGGCUGAGAAGGGACUUGCAGAAGACUUUUUCUCAGGAGUCACCAGUUCCUGCGAGGCUUCGUGCACCCUGCCUGUGGAGCAGCAACAGAAAGAUACUGGAAAACAGGAAUGCUUUUCCAGGGCAGCACAAGAAGCCUCACACCGCUCCUGGAUGACAGAAACCCAAAAGCCAAUAUGACAAAAUGGUUGGCGCCACAACAAAGAAAAUGCAGGUGCCGAAUGGAGGCAUUGUUCAAUGUGUCCAUGCGCAUUAUUGUAAUGCAGCGUGUUGUCCAGUGAAAAGAUGCCUACAUGGCUGGCGAGGGAGCACUGCCAGGGAAGGGCUGGCCCCAGAGAAGCUGCAUUGUCCGAGCCAGGCAGAAAGUUCACAUAACUCCCACAUUGGCUGGCAACUGCUGCCUACGGGGAACAGCUUACCAGCCUGACGUGAGGCAUUAUGCUCCCUGCCCGUGGAUUUGCACCUAAGAAGAACCGAUGCAUAAAGCCAGUCUCAAAAUCAUCUCGGAGCUCCGUUUUCUUCAGAGCUAGCAUUGCUCUGGCGAACUGCCCAGGGAUUUAGACUCAGCUAAUCCAGGCUUGGCUCUCCAUGGCAGACACCCGUGGAACAAAGGAAAGAAAGCUUCCACGACCCUGUCAAGUUUCUGGUAAAUCACUCAGCCAGGUGCAGAAAGUGGGAUAGGCGGUCGCCAGCGAGCUUUCUUGGAUCAGAGAGAGGCAAAUCCCUGGAGGGGGGAACAGAAGAAGCUUUACAGAUUUUCUUGCCAUAAUUUACCAAGCCUGUGUGCAGCGCUCCGAGCAUGCAGUGCCUGUGCGUUUCACACAAUCCUUCCAGCGAGCUGUGCUGAAGCACACUGCCCUGCCAACGUGUGCUCCAAGGGUUUCUGGUGCACGCUGGUUGCUUGGUUUGUCUUCAAAGUGGGCAAAGCUGUUCCUAGGACUGUCUCUCAGAUGAGCACAGGCACUGGACAGAUUUUAAUCAUUUUUCUAAAUUGCAAGGAAGGAAGUAUUAUUGAUGUUAUUCUUUUAAUAACUAUUUUAAUAACUAUUUUUAUUCCGACUCACUUAGGUAGGAGAUUGCUUGGAGAUACAUCAUCUCCUUUGUGUGAAUUUUUAUUUAGAAAGAGAGAUACACUGGCAAUCUUGUAGAAAAAGAAGAAUAGAAAGGAAAGGAAAGAGAAAAGGAAAAAAAAAAGAGAAAAGAAAAACCUGAAAGAAAGUCAAAGAGUGCUUGCAUCCUUUAAACUGGACAAGAAAAGAUAGACAGUUUCUGGAGGAAGUAGGUCUGCUUAUUACAAGUCUCCUGAUUUUUCCUUGCUAGAAACAAUUUGAAAAGAAAACAUUGGCUUUGCUUUCCUAUUGGAUUUCUAGGGGGUGAGUUCUUCUGAAGCGAUGUUUUUUGAGUGCUGAUAUUCUCUGAUCCAAGAUAGCCAAAGUCUGGGCUAUAACCCAAGCGUAGGGAUUGUGCAUGAUAAUUUGAAAUUCAGUUCUAGAACCAUAACACCGUCUGUUUCAUCAGCAAACAGAAGUAGUAGAUAGAUGUCUUCACCAAUACCAGACAUAUGCCCACAGAAUAUAUUUCUUUUACAAAGAAUUAAAACAUGAAAUUAAGGAAAUGUUGAUGACCUUUAAGCACAAAUGUGCUGAACUUCAAGCUCAAGUGCUUCCCUAAGUCAAGGUACAAGUAACUUUUAUAAAAUACUGCAUCCUGUCUCUCAGGUGAAGGUCAGGUAUUAUAAAACCACCAACAACAGUUAUGAGAGAUUCUGUACCUACGCAUUCAAUAACAGCAGCAUACAUAUGUUCAAGAAAUGUGUAGAUGUGGCACUAAGGGACUUGGUUUAGUGGGCAUGGUGGGGACGGGUUAACAGUUGGACUUGAUGAUCUUGGAGAUCUUUUCCAACCUUAAUGAUCCUAUGAUUCUAUGACAUCUAUCUGAAUAUUGUGAUAUAUUUGUUGUAAAGUCAAAUCUGAUUUGUUAUUUUUGCUCAUUUAUAACAUUCUGAGGAUGACACUUUUGAAGUGACACUCAUACAAUUUAUGUGUAUAUAUAUAUGUGUGAUAUAUUUGACCUAAAGGCAAUUUUAAAAAAGAUUUGCAUAAAAUAUUUCAGAUCCACUACUAGGAUAAGAGGAAAUGAGGUGUAUGGCUCUCUCAGUCAAAACCACUUUCAGCACCUUGCUUGGUAGACCCUAGAGCUGGCGGCAGAAGAUCACUGUGAGCAGUAACCCCAAUCCAGAAGACUGCUUUUAAAUAUUCUAAUUAAGUUGAGGUUUGAUUGGCAGCACGUUUUGCCCUCAAUCUGCUCGCUAGAUGUGCCCUUACAGGAGUGGUAUAUCUUCCUGUAUCAGGGGCUUCUCUGUCUAACCUAGCAAAGCAAAAGGUUAAGGUUGCUCUCCGUGAGUAUAUAUGGGAAGAAGUGCUGUUUCACCUGAAGGACGGUGCUUCCACAGGACAGGUACAUGCAUCGUCCGUGAGUACAUUUGCAAAGGUUUCUAAACAUCAGAUAAGAGGAAUUCUGCAAUAUCACCCUGGUGUGAAUGACACAAUAAGAUGUCACUUGGUUCAUUUGUGAUUGCUUGCAAAGGCAGAGAACUGGUCUGCUUGACUCAAAACAUUGCUGCUGCUCCUGCAUUUCAUGGGCUUUAAGAGCAGAAGAGCUCAUUGGACCACCUGGAUGGAACUCUGCACAGGCCAUAGACCUCACCCAGUUCCUCUUUCCUGCGGCAAGCAACUUGUCUGAUUUAAGCAUUAUCUUACAGAAAGUUGUUCAGUCUUGGUGUAUUAACACCAGGAUCCACUCCUUGCCCUGAGGUUUGUUACAGCCUUAAUUCUUCCAUUAAUUAAAAUGGACAACUUUUCUUUUGGGGGCAUGAACUUGUUCACCAGUAUCUCUGAUUCCUAUUUGACUUUCCAUCGGCAAAUUGUGAACCCUUCUGGUGUAGGAAAGCACAACCAUUUCUGCUUCAAAUGCAAAGGAUGUCUCUGUGUUGUCUCAGCUGGCACUUGCCAUAGCUCUGUCAUCAAAGGGGGAUCACCUUCUUCCCCAUUUUACAGAGAGGAAGGUUGCAGCGCAGAGGAUGAAGCUUAGCUCACCAACAUGAAGAAGCAAUGACUUUGCUAGAUGUGUACGAAGACCUCCCUGUAUGGCACAAGGUCCGUGCCGGAUUGCAGCACUACCCCUUUGUCCAGACCUCCGAGAGCCAAACGAAGCCAACCAGUUGUUCACAGCAUCUGUUCCUGCUGAAAGCACAGCAAAUAGCUUCUCAGCAAAGAGAUUUCUCUUUGGGAAGGAUCACUGAGCAGCCAGAAAGACAAAUUAAAUUAGGAAGCAUAAAGCAGAAGGCCAUGAGUAGAAGGGAAAAGGAUAUACCGUGUGAAUCAGAUCAUGUGCAAAGAAGUCAAGUGUGCUUGUUUUUUUCAGGAAUGUCUGAAUAUUUUUAUACUUUAAGAAGAAGAGAACGAUGGCACAGUCUGUUUAGGGGCAAUGGGAAGGAAAAAGCAAAACAAAACAAGUGGGGCCAUGAGACAUGGUGCGAUUUGCAUCUAAAUACGUUUUAGCUAUAAGAACAUGUUCAGAGGAAAGCACAGUAUUGCCAGUUCACGAGACUAACUUUCUGAUAUCUUUGUGGGAACCAAAUGAAUUGCAAAACAUCUGCAAGGUCCAAAGUGUCAAUUAUGCCUUUAUGUAGAUGGAGGAAAUGUCACAUGAUUGAGGCAGUCAUUGGACAUGGUCAAUUGUACGUUUUUAUCCUCUGCUUAGCCUUAAAGCCUCACUCAACAGUCCCCUCAGACAAAGGCACUGUCAGAGAGGGAGAUGGAUCAGUUUGGCCACUCUCAGGAGUUGCUUAUCAGCACAGAAAGUGUCCCUGGCCUCGGACAGCUCUGACAUUCUGUUUGCAUAUCCUGCUUCACUGGUGCAGCUACGAGUCCGCCUCAAGAGCCGUGCAGCGAGACGUAGCCAGGCGAACAACCCAACACAAAGCCCAGAUACCGGCGGGGAUUUGGAAAAGGAACCACACAAACAAGCAGGUUUCAGAUACUUAUCUUAGACCAUACCUGUGUUUCUCCGUCAGGUUUCUCCUCCAGCUCACAAGCGACAAGUUUUUUGAAACAUGCCAACUGCCCAGAAGCAUCUCGCAGGAAUGUGUAAAACGAAGUCAUGCAUCAUUCAGGGAUUGCAGGAGCUGCCAAAGCAGAAGAAUGGUUUUGAAAGGCCCAUAUGUGUAGCAGUGAAUGCCAAAUAUCUUCAUUUUAAUGGCUCGCGUGUUACAGUUUAUAUUGAGCACUUCAACAAGUCCCAGCAAUAUUCUUUCUGGAUUUGCAAACUUGCGUUACUUCUCAAGGAAACUUUUAAACCCAGCAACAUUUGUACUGAACAAUUAGUGCGUGUUUUACUGCAGUCAACAUCUGAAGCCAACAGCAUCUCUACACUGUAAAACUGCACCAAAACGCCACUGGCACCGCUUCCAGCUGGUGGGAUGGUACAGCUCCCUUCGCAUCAAGGGAGCCUUGGAUGGGGCUUGUGGUCAUUACCAUGAUAAAUUAUCAUGCUAUUACAUCACCGUGGAUGCUUAUCUAAAGUCUGACAUCCACGUAGUUCUGGCUGAACGUGUCUGGAUCCAUUGAGCGGGUGCCCAAGGUAGGGCACUCGUGUCAACCAGACCUUGUAGCAGUGGAAGGAGAAAUACGGGUUGCAGCCAUAGGGCUGAGUGCUCUGAGCAGGAGGCAAGUGAGCAGAAUGCAUGACAUGUCUGCAAUUGCUUUGGGAAGAGUGCAGCCAAAACUGUAAAUUGUGUUACACGCAAAAGAUAAAAUCUGUUCUGAAUCGUGGAAGCCCUCACGUUGUUUUAAGUGAGAUUUCUGUGUAUGUAUACAUACACACAGCCGCUGUCCUCGCCCUGCCCGCUGCGUGUCUGCUCCCACUGCUGGCGUGCAGAGGUUGUCCUGCCUUGGAAAUAGAGCUUACACAUGCACAUGCCCUCCCAAAAUUGACGUGUUGCUCUGGUUGUGGCUGGCUGUUGUAUCCAGCGUCACGACAAAGUAACCCAUCCAUCUAAACACAACAACAGCACAAGGGAUGGGGCUGCUCUGCGUGAGCUGCCUGGUGUCCAAAAUGAAGGUAUGUAUUUAAAGGCAUCGGAUAAGCCUACCCGUGCAGGUAUUCCAGGAAAGGAUGAAGUGUGUCUCACGAUUCCAGGAACAGAAGGGAGUUGGUAAAUCACGUGCACAGCGAGAUAAACCCCAGGCAGCCCUGCAGCAUGGCGUAGAUUUGGAUGGCUUACGUCAGGAGCGUUCUGUAGCAGAGCACGGAGCAGGCUCAUUCCAGCAGAACAGCACUUGAAGAGAUGAUUCCUGGAAAGUGCUUUACAUCUGAAUUUUUGGGCAGUGGUUUCCUUGUGCCAGCAAAGCCUGUGUAAGUCAGGGCUCUGUGAAAGAGAACAUUUAAUACAGUGCAAAGCCCAGCAGCCCAGGCUGGGUUAGGAAAUCAGCAGAUCUGGUGAAUGAAUCAGGCUCAGCCCACAGGAAUCUUGCUGCAGGAAAGCAGCCAUUGCCAGGAGGGGUCAGGCUGUUGUCCUCCAUCCACUGCCUCUGAAGGAAACAGCAGCACAUAGGUAGAAAAGAAACUUACAGACCCUAACUGGAGCAUAAGCUGUCAGUUACAGUGUCUCAUUUCUGUGCUGGUUUUGCAUGUUUGUAAGACCUGUCUGUAUAUAGAACUUAGAAGCAUCCAGUCCUGUGGUCCAUGAAGAGAUGAACUGUCUGUAAUGUGCUUAUCUAGAAGGCUGGGUCCCACCUAUGAAAUCUGUUGCCUUUUACCAAAUAUAUGAGGAAAAAGCAGACACGGGGGCUAUCCAAAUUGUGGUUUCCUGAUCCUCUGCAUUUAUUUCAAGGGUAUUGGUGGCACUUCCAGCUUUAUCCUGCCUGAAAGGUCAGGGUGGAAAGCUGCUGAAUGUGUGGUUGUGGGGGGCUGCUUUCUCUUCCAUCUGCCCUGUGCAUCCUCUAGAAAAGAACCAUAGAAUCAUAGAAUCAUUUGAGUUGGAAGGGACCCUUAACGGCCAUCUGGUCCAACUCCCCUGCAAUGAACAGGGACACCUACAGCUGAUCAAGUGCUCAGAGCUCCAUCCGGCCUGACCUUGAGUAUCUCCAGGGGCAGGGCAUCCACCAACUCUCUGGGCAGCCUGUUCUAAGGAAGCAGACAUUUGCUGGUCACAGGUAAGAUAGAACAGUGUUUUCUGUUGUCAUUGUUGUCAUGAGGAUUCACCAAGAUUGUGUUCAUGCACAGUUACCAACUUAAAUGCUGCUGAAGGUGGUGAAAGUUUUGUACCUGAAUUUGGGAGGAGUUCAGUCAGGCUUGGAGCUCUUCUGGUGACAAAUAUUGUAGGAUUAAUCAUAGAAUCACAGAAUCAUUUAGGUUGGAAAAGACCACUAAGCUCACCAAGUCCAACCCCAGCCCACUCCCACCAUGCCCAACAACCAUGUCCCUCACUGCCACAUCUCCAUGGUUUUUAACACCUCCAGGGACGGUGACUCCACCAUCUCCCUGGGCAGCCUGUUCCAGUGCCCAACAGAAGAGAUUUUUCUUAAUAACCACCAUGAAACUUCCCUGGCAUAAGGUAAAGCCAUUUAACUGACUUCUACUCGCAGCCUGUGCCCUUGGUAGGUUCGGGACACUCACAGAUGUGGCAUGGCAGCAACCGAAGCAGGCCAGCAUUGAAUAAAGGCCUCCAGCUGCACUCCCUGACCCCCAGCCUCACCACAAUGGGCAUGGGGUGGUAUUAUUUUAAACUUUCUCUAUUUCCCUAUAUGGAGUCUCCAAACCAGCUUAUUGGAUUUUCCCAGUGUUUCAGCUCUUUCUCCUCUAAACGUUCCUCCCAUCCCUUCCUUCUCCCCUCUUGCCAACCUGCUGUUCUGUGUUUUUUCUUAUCUCUUUCUUCUACUAAAUUCUUAUCUUAAAAACAGUGCAUUUGAUUUUGUGCAAUAGUAGAUUUUGCUCCUGGAACAACUCUGCCACCUCUCUUUGGCCAAAUUACGUGUACAUCUACUCUUCUUAAAAACUCAUCAUCUAACAUGACACCCGUAGUAUUUAAACUCUUUCUAAAAUCAAAAUUUAAAUGCUUUAAUUUUACUAUCAUUUCCUGGCUUUUGUGGUUGGGAAAAAAAAAAAAAGCAUUAUACUCAUUUUAAAAUCAUUUCAGGUGUUUUCUUUGCUCAUCUAAGGAAAACCAUCAAGGUUAUUCAUUGUGUUCUCUUUGUUAUCACAGGAGGUUUAAACAUGCCAUGUAAUCUGUGGCCAAUUAAAACACUGAUUUCUGUUAUAAUUGCAGCAGUCAGGUUUGGAGGCGUUUGGGAUGGGUGGAACAGGUGGGACAACUACACAGGGAGAGAUUUCUUGCUUUACUUUUGCAUGAAAUAAAUACAAGUGUGGCUAAUUCCAUGUUCUCCUUCUUCAGAGUCUGCCAGCAGCCGGGGCUCACUCAGGACACAAAGUGAGCAGUACUGAGAGCAGGGACUGGUCAUGGCCAGGAUGCAGGAGUGGGCAUCAAGGAGACCAUGACCCUUCCCAGCCAGUUCUGCCCACACUACCUAACCCAGGUAAAGCUCUGAACUGCACAAAAUCAGAUAUGGAAAGCACGUGCACAUAGGUAUAUAUGUAAAUGUAAAACAUCUCUGCACUACCAUGAUCAGAUGUGUUUGUAUAUGUUUGAGCAUUUCUACACUGGGUGUCAUCCAACCAAACCAAUUUGUUUGGGCAACUUCCCAGGCUUUCUUUCUCUUUACUGCAGAGGACGCAGCGUUACCUCCGCCCAGACUCCCAAACAUCUUCUGGAUGGAUGGUGCGCUGGGCAACCUGGUCUAGUACUAGACCUGGAGGUUGGUGGCCCUGCCUGUGGCAGGGGGGUUGGAACUUGGUGAUCCUUGAGGUCCCUUCCAACCCAAGCCAUUCUUUGAUUCUCUGAUGAUUCUGGUCAACCCUGCCUCUCCCCUCCUGAGGACCCCACUGCUCAACAAGAUGCAAGAACUCAUUGUUCCCUUGGGAACGCCUUCAGGACACGCAGCCUAUUGUAGGUGCCCUACUUAAGGCAUGGUCUGUAGCACCUUGGAGCUCUUUCUUCACACUGCUACGUUGUUUUUUUUUUUUAAUCCUAUUCACACUGACAUGCCUUUCACCUAUGGCUCUCAGAUCCAGCUAUGAGAACAAGGUUCGAAGUGGUUCUUGCUAACACAUCAUGCACGGGGCUGAUGGGAGCUGAGCCAGCGCCAUCAGCUUGGUGGCCCACUUGGCCAAGGGCUGCUGCUGUUUGGUCCAAUAACUGCUGAAGUGCUUUUUCUGACGUUUUCCUCACUCCAGAGUGCUUUUCACAAACCCAGAUCUCUGUUCUCAGGCAUCCUUUUGCACUCCCUAGCCAUGCCCCUUGCUCUUCUCUCCCUCAAGAACAAAACAUGGCCUUCCAUUGCAGGAUCACAGUGGACCGCUGAACCUCAGUGCAAUGCACAGACUUAGCACUAGCUACGCGGACAUGCACCCAGCCCAUGGCACGGCCACAGCAAGGGCUGGGCACUGUGCUGCCCGUGGCCAAGAGCACAGCACAGAAAGGACCCAGGAAUGAGGGGGGUGAAAGUAGGAAGGAGCCGUGCUUGGGUGUGUGGGGCCAUCUGCCACCGCAGAAGUACAAUGCCGGAUUCUUGAAAUGUAAAAAUAGAUCUCAAAAGCGACAUGUUUUAAUGAACUGAGCACAAAGGAACAUGGGCGAAAUAAACUGAAAACAGAAGCAAG